rfam:Schistosoma mansoni strain Puerto Rico chromosome W, complete genome
AUCCAGCUGACGAGUCUCAAAUAGGACGAAACGUGCAUCCUGGAU